AAUACCCUAUUAUUUUAAAAGUAAUUAAAUAAAUCUAAUUAGUAAUAGUUAAGUUCUUGAAAAUUAAAGAAUUUGGCGGUAUUUUAGUCUAUUCAGAGGAAUCUGUCCUAUAAUUGAUAAUCCACGAUUUUUUAUACCUAAUUUAUUAAUUUACAUAUCGCCGUAGUUUGAAUAUUUUUUGAAAAUUAUAAUAUUCAUAAUUUAUUUUGAUAAAAAAGAUCAGGUCAAGGUGUAGUUUAUAAUUAGGGAGAGAUGGGUUACAAUAAAAGUAUUUAUUAUGGAUUAAUUAAUUGAAUUUUUUUAUGAAGGUGGAUUUGAAAGUAAUUUUAUUUA
rnacentral:rRNA from 1 species